AUUGGAUAGAAUUGUGUAAUUUGGAUUCGUAAUGACUUUGGAUGAGCUUUAUAAAGUCAAGUUUGUUUUCACAUGACUUGGAUUUUUAUGAAAUAAAAUAAGGUUGAUGUUUUGGAUAAUUUCAAGAGUUUUGUAAUAGAUCUAUGGAUGAAAUUUUGUAGGUUAAUGCUUAUAGUUGUGCUUAGUAUGUGUUGUAAAUUUUAGCUAGAUCUAAUGGUUGAAUUGAGGGUUAUUGAGGUUUAAGUGGAUCAAGGUUUCAAAAAGUAGAAUUUUAGGUCCAGUGAGGAUUUUAAGAUUUCUUACAAUCUACUAGUUGAAUUGGAAUAGAAGUUGUGUGUUUGAGUAGUAGACUUGUUUUCUUUUGUAUAUGAGAAUUUUGAGAUUGAUUAAAUAGUUUGAUAAGAAGAAAUUGGUGCUAGAAAUUUUAUAUUUAGAUUAGAGAAGAAG
rnacentral:lncRNA from 1 species